rnacentral:rRNA from 1 species
ACUCCUACGGGAGGCAGCAGUGGGAAGUAUUGCAUCAAUGGGCAGGCAAGCCAUGACUGCAGCCAUGCCGCGCUGUGUGAAGAAGGCCAAUUCGGGCUUGGUUAAAGACACUUUUCAGUCGUGAGGAAGGUAGUGUAGUUAAUAGCUGCAUUAUUUGACGUUAGCGACAGAAGAAGCACCGGCUAACUCCGUGCCAGCAGCCGCGGUAAUACGGAGGGUGCGAGCGUUAAUCGGAAUUACUGGGCGUAAAGCGCAUGCAGGUGGUUUGUUAAGUCAGAUGUGAAAGCCC